GGCGGAGCAUUAGCGACCAGCCGCCCAGCUCGCUGCCCAGAGAGCGCACUCCCAGCACACCAACAACUGAAACUCAAAGGAGGAAAAGAAAGCAAGAAAAGCCAGCACAAGCAGCAAGCAUGGACUCCUACUUAUAGAAACCAGCCAGCCACAUACAUACCUAAACAGUCAAUUUACAUCUGCAGCAGAUCCGGACUAUUUAAGACAUGCUAUCCAUUGUACAGAUAAAAAAGGAGGUACUGUUUAACCCAGUGGGCAAAGAAAUUUCAUUCAUUUGGAAAUCUAUCCAAAAGAAGGACUUGAAAUGUUUCUUUUGUCAGAACAUAAAAGGCAAAAUCUCACAUGUAUUUUUUAAAAAAAUUAUAUGACCCCAAACUGUCAUUAGGCAGAUUUUCACACAGAAGGAAACCAAAGAGAACUCAAUAGCUACUAUACAAAAUGAGGGGGAAAUAAGAAGAAUUAUAGUGAUUUGAUUUCCCCAUGAUCAUUUUUGUUAAAAAGAAAAAGUCUGCCUAUACAUAGCCAUGAAUGCAUAUCAACAACAUUUUUUAAAAUUAAUUUUCAUGCACACCAAUAAUUUUUCAUUCUAAUGUAGCUGCUGACUCACCAUUCUUUCAAUAUUCACAUUCAGGGCUCCAAGAGUCAAAAUGCCUGUUUCUUACUCCUAUUGCUUAAAAAAAAAGGAAAAGAAAGGAAAGGGGGGAAAAAGGUCUUCAGAGGAUGCUGGCGUUCUUUCCCCAGUCUGAGGGGGAGACUAGUCUGCAGGAAAGCCAGUGCUGCAGAAAUCUAUUUCACACUGUGCAAUGCUGAAAAAUACCAGAGCUACCAGUCACAUAAGAGAGGCUAAAAGCACUAUAGAUUUCAGCCCAGAAAACACUUGAAAAAGGCACUGCCUCCUGAUUCCAAUGUGCAUUCUGCCAACUGUGAAAACAAAAGGUGCUAAAAAUGGUUGGCACACACACACACACACACACACACACACACACACACACACACACACACACACACACACACACACACACACACACCUUCUAGCCAGGGUCAACACUUUCACUGGCAUCAUUUUUCAUGUUGAGAAACCUCAGACAGAACAAUAAACAAGGAACAGGGUUGCAAAUCACCCCACAUCAUACCCACUGUUCUGUGCUGCAGUAGUUUUUUGAGGGUUACAACUGACAAGCAGCCUCUACUUAAAAAGACAGGAGAACAAAAGAAGUAUUAGUUACGAUGGCAAGACAGCAAAGCAAUCCUGAGUGAUGAUUAAACCUCAUUUCCCAUUCGGGAAUCCAAUCCUGCAAAAGCCAAACCCAGGAAUCUCUUACCUGCUCCUCACCUCUGUCUAGCGCGGCUGCUGCAGGCUUGCAGCUCGCUUGCAAGCACGGCAGUGAGUUUCAGGACCAUACAGAAUGGAUUCUGUCUGUUGCAGCCUCCGUAUCUCAUUGACUGUAGCCCAGAGGAUUUUCAAAGCCAUGCCUCCCUCACAACAGCUGGCUUGUUUUUGCUUGCUGCCACAUGAUUGACAAGUUCACACAAGCACUGUCAACUUUAACCUUGAUGACUGAAGACGCAGUUUGUAUUCUAUGUUACAUCACCGAGAACUUCUGACCCCGGAGAGAAAAGCUCCAAAGACUUCAAAGCCUAAAUUGUCUUUUUAAACCCUAAA